rnacentral:lncRNA from 1 species
UGUGGUCUCACAGGCAUUGGGAGUACGUGACAGUCAGUGUAUGUGGUUUCUCACAGCGCUAGGAGUAGUGACAGUCAGGGUAUUUGGUCUCACAGCGUUGAGGUACGUGACAGUCAGGAUAUGUGGUCUCACAGCGUUGGGAGUACGUGACAGUCAGGAUAUGUGGUCUCCAGCGUUUGAGGGAAGUGACAGCAGGUAUGUGGUCUCACAGCGUUGAGGUUACGUGACAGUCAGGGUAUGUGGUCUCACAGCGUGAGGUACGUGACAGUUCGGGUAUGCGGUCUCACAGCGUGAGGUAGUGAACAGUCAGGAUAUGGGGUCUCACAGCGUUGGGAGUACGUGACUGUCGGGUAUGGGUUCAACAGCGUAGAGGUACGUGACAGUCAGGGUAUGUG